UGUGAGGGUUGCUGGAGGUAUCAGAAGUGCGAAUGCUGACAUAAGUAACGAUAAAGCGGGUGAAAAGCCCGCUCGCCGGAAGACCAAGGGUUCCUGUCCAACGUUAAUCGGGGCAGGGUGAGUCGACCCCUAAGGCGAGGCCGAAAGGCGUAGUCGAUGGGAAACGGGUUAAUAUUCCCGUACUUGGUGUUACUGCGAAGGGGGGACGGAGAAGGCUAUGUUGGCCGGGCGACGGUU
rnacentral:rRNA from 1 species